GUAAUUGUGGCUUACUUUUAAAGCGUAGUGUUGAAAACCCUAAGACGAGCCGAAUGCUCCAAAUACA
rnacentral:tRNA from 1 species